rnacentral:misc_RNA from 1 species
GAAUGCUGCUAGGUUGCUAAAAUCUUCCAGAAUCAUAAUAUUCAGCCUCUGUUUAUUUUAGGCAGACCACCUAAUAGAAGUAGGAAGCGGUUCUGUGGUGUCAUUAUCUGAUAGAAACCAUAGGUCUUAAGUUAAAAAGCCAGCUGAUUUCAUUCUCUUUCUCAACAAAUUUUGCAUAUUCCCAUUAUUUUUAAUGCCUUACAUAGCG